UGGGGAAUUUUGGACAAUGGGUGAAAGCCUGAUCCAGCAAUGCCGCGUGUGUGAAGAAGGCCUUCGGGUUGUAAAGCACUUUUGUCCGGAAAGAAAUCCUCUGGGUUAAUACCUCGGGGGAUGACGGUACCGGAAGAAUAAGCACCGGCUAACUACGUGCCAGCAGCCGCGGUAAUACGUAGGGUGCAAGCGUUAAUCGGAAUUACUGGGCGUAAAGCGUGCGCAGGCGGUUUUGUAAGACGGAUGUGAAAUCCCCGGGCUUAACCUGGGAACUGCAUUCGUGACUGCAAGGCUAGAGUAUGGCAGAGGGGGGUAGAAUUCCACGUGUAGCAGUGAAAUGCGUAGAGAUGUGGAGGAAUACCGAUGGCGAAGGCAGCCCCCUGGGCCAAUACUGACGCUCAUGCGCGAAAGCGUGGGGAGCAAACAGGAUUAGAUACCCUGGUAGUCCACGCCCUAAACGAUGUCAACUAGUUGUUGGGGAUUCAUUUCCUUAGUAACGUAGCUAACGCGUGAAGUUGACCGCCUGGGGAGUACGGUCGCAAGAUUAAAACUCAAAUGAAUUGACGGGGUCAUAGCUGUUUCCU
rnacentral:rRNA from 1 species